CAGGGCUUAAAUGCAGGCUGCAUGGGGUAGAGAUACCCCUUUCUUCGGACUGCCUGCAAGGUGCUGCAUGGUUGUCGUCAGCUCGUGCCGUGAGGUGUCAGGUUAAGUCCUAUAACGAGCGCAACCCCUACCGUUAGUUGCCAGCAUGUCAAGAUGGGGACUCUAACGGGACUGCCGGUGCAAACCGUGAGGAAGGUGGGGACGACGUCAAAUCAUCACGGCCCUUACGUCCUGGGCCACACACGUGCUACAAUGGCCGGUACAGAGGGAAGCCACCCCGCAAGGGGGCGCGGAUCUAUAAAACCGGUCACAGUUCGGAUCGGGGUCUGCAACUCGACCCCGUGAAGCUGGAAUCGCUAGUAAUCGGAUAUCAGCCAUGAUCCGGUGAAUACGUUCCCC
rnacentral:rRNA from 1 species